CGUUCAACAAGGAAACGUUUUAGUUUUCAGGCCCACACAAACCUAUUCGAAUGCGCCUAAAACACGAAGAAAAAACAUUAAACUAUUUAAAGUUAUAUAUCAAAAAUAAACUUUGAUGUUAAUAUUAUGGAGGAAGCAGCCCAGGAAAUCAAAAGGGCCUAGGGCCUGGGAGAGUCAUAAUUCUGCCCAGCUGGGCCCCUAAGUAUAGCAGGCCUAAGGGCUGUGUCUUGGGAGGAAGGCAGUUUCUGCUUCCCGAGGAUGGAGCUGGAUUUGAGCACUGAUUCUAACAGGCUUCUGCUGCAGGGCUUGCUAAUUGGUGUUGACAGGCUGCUGGUGUUAACUUUAUUGUUGUUUGAGAGAAGUUUUUGUUUGCUUUUGGCAGGCUACACCUGCUCCCUGGCUGUGGGGCUUUGUCAAGGGGUGGAGCCACAAGCUUUCACUCGACCUGAACUCUGCCCUCUGGAGAGUACUUAGGAAUGACCAGACCAUGAAUUUCCAGCACACUUCCUGGCCGAGCUGACCCUGGAGAACAGUGUCUGCCCAGGAUAUGGCAGGCUUUCAUUUUAAUGUGAUGAUGGGUGACAUUUAGCAGGCGACUCGCUCCGUUCACGGCGUUAACUGUCACCGUGCCUCAGGGACAUCGGUGGCUCAGGGACAUCGGCGGCUCGGGACGGGAGAGAGAUGGGCUGAGGAUGCAGGAGGGCGUCGAAGAGGUUCGGGAGCAAAGCGGGCUGAGAACCUAGCACACUGUCCUAGAAAGAGCGGCCGCUCAACUCUUCAUGUUCGCAGAGCGAAAGAUAAAGGGCAGCCUUCCUGUUUACAAGCAGUAUGUACACUUUGGAUAUUUUCCUUCGACAACGGUCUUGUCAGAAGAAGCAUAAGCAUUUCAGUGCACCUAUCUUAAU